rnacentral:misc_RNA from 1 species
CUUAAGUGGUGAAGAAAGUGAGAUGCAUGAAGACACUGAAGAAAUCAAUGCCUUCCUUUACUCUGAUGAUGAUGAAGAUAAUGAUGAUGAUGAUGAUGAUGAUGAUGAAGUAACAAGCACUGGUCACUCUCCAAGCACCGGUCACUCUCCCAUUCAGAUCAGAAGUUGUCAGACGCGAGUAGAAGUAGAGGAAAUAACAGAGGAAGUCGCUGGUUCUGAUGGCCAAAGCAAAAGGCAGAAAUUGCUUGAUGGUGUGUACAAAAGAACAUCACUAGCGGACACUGCUAGUUUGACAAAAGUGGCCGGAGUUCAUGGGUGUGAUGAUAAUGAUGAUGAAUCAAGCUAUGCUAUUGGACAAAACCAAGAAGAAGAAAGGCUUGCCUUCUGGGGCAGCAAGCAAUUGAAAAAGGAUAAGGUUCGUGCAACAUUAAAAAUUCUGGAGAGCAUAAUCCCUGGUGCAAAGGACAAGGACCCACUGGUGGUCCUUGAUGUGGCUAUUGAUUACUUGAAAUCUUUGAAGUUUGAAGCCAAAAGUCUUGGAGCGAACUACUGUUAAGUUUCGUUCCCUCCAACUUUCAUAGUGUUAUGUUGGCUAGUGGGUGCAAAGAAGAAAGAAGAAAAGUAGCAACCCUAGAGUUCUUGGCUUGAAUGAUUGAUGAGUUAGAAAUAAUAGCUUUUCUGAUGUGGGGUACUCUUUAGACUUUUUCCCUCAGGAGCUGUGUAUAAUCUGCCAAUAAAAGGAGAGUAGUGGGAAGAUAUAGUACUUUGCUCGCAGGGUGAAGAAAAAAAUAGAGUUUUAUAAGUUGAUCAGAAAUGAUUAAAGAUUAUCAAAAGAAAAUGAAUGGAGAGUGGGACCCGAAUUACCUAGCAAGUGCUGAAUUGUGCUAUAAAUGAGAGGAUUUUAUUUCUUAAGUGUUGAGAAGCCCUAUGGAUGUGCAUGCGCGUUAGGUAAUUCGGGUCCCACUCUCCAUUCAUUUUCUUUGAUUUAAUGCAUUUGUCUUCCUCUCUUUGCCCUCACACAAAUCAUAUUGAGCUCUAUUAAAAUACCGAAAAAAGUUUCAAAUGAAGCGUGAUGUCUCGCCAUGAAUUGUUGGGGUCCACACUUUUGAUCACAUAGUUGCUUGUGUGUCUUCACUCGUGAGUGUGGGUGGUGGCUAUGUAACUUGUGCAGUAUAUCAUGUGAUCAUGGUCAUUCAGUGAAGCCCUUGGUUCCCAAGAUGGGAUUUGUCAGCUUUGUAUGCUCAUUAUUUGUUGUGAGUGUGAAUUUGGUGUUCGGCAGUAGAGUGUGGAGUAUUGAGUUGAAUGUAUUUUAUCUUGGCUGUUUUUUCUUCUGUUCUUCCUGUUGUCCUAUGUAGGACGAUUUUGUCUGUAUUGAAAAAGAAAACAUCUCUACAUUAAUAAAAUCA